rnacentral:rRNA from 1 species
GAUCCUGGCUCAGGAUGAACGCUGGCGGCGUGCCUAACACAUGCAAGUCGAACGGAGUUACGAGAGCUUGCUUUGUAACUUAGUGGCGGACGGGUGAGUAAUGUAUGAGCAACCUGCCUUUCAGAGGGGGACAACAGUUGGAAACGACUGCUAAUACCGCAUAAUGUAUUCGGGAGGCAUCUCCUGGAUACCAAAGGAGCAAUCCGCUGAAAGAUGGGCUCAUAUCUGAUUAGCUAGUUGGUGGGGUAACGGCUCACCAAGGCUGCGAUCAGUAGCCGGACUGAGAGGUUGAACGGCCACAUUGGGACUGAGAUACGGCCCAGACUCCUACGGGAGGCAGCAGUGGGGAAUAUUGGGCAAUGGGCGAAAGCCUCGACCCAGCAACGCCGCGUGAAGGAAGAAGGUCUUCGGAUUGUAAACUUCUUCUAUGAGGGACGAAGGACGUGACGGUACCUCAUGAAUAAGCCACGGCUAACUACGUGCCAGCCGCAGC